AUGUGUUGAGGUUGUAGUUCUCUGGGCUGGCAGGCUGUAAUGUGGUAUGUGUUGAGGUUGUAGUUCUCUGGGCUGGCAGGCUGUAAUGUGGUAUGUGUUGAGGUUGUAGUUCUCUGGGCUGGCAGGCUGUAAUGUGGUAUGUGUUGAGGUUGUAGUUCUCUGGGCUGGCAGACUGUAAUGUGUUGAGGUUGUAGUUCUCUGGGCUGGCAGGCUGUAAUGUGUUGAGGUUGUAGUUCUCUGGGCUGGCAGGCUGUAAUGUGCAAUGUGUUGAGGUUGUAGUUCUCUGGGCUGGCAGACUGUAAUGUGUUGAGGUUGUAGUUCUCUGGGCUGGCAGGCUGUAAUGUGCAAUGUGUUGAGGUUGUAGUUCUCUGGGCUGGCAGACUGUAAUGUGUUGAGGUUGUAGUUCUCUGGGCUGGCAGGCUGUAAUGUGGUAUGGGUUGAGGUUGUAGUUCUCUGGGCUGGCAGACUGUAAUGUGUUGAGGUUGUAGUUCUCUGGGCUGGCAGACUGUAAUGUGUUGAGGUUGUAGUUCUCUGGGCUGGCAGACUGUAAUGUGUUGAGGUUGUAGUUCUCUGGGCUGGCAGACUGUAAUGUGUUGAGGUUGUAGUUCUCUGGGCUGGCAGACUGUAAUGUGUUGAGGUUGUAGUUCUCUGGGCUGGCAGACUGUAAUGUGUUGAGGUUGUAGUUCUCUGGGCUGGCAGACUGUAAUGUGUUGAGGUUGUAGUUCUCUGGGCUGGCAGACUGUAAUGUGUUGAGGUUGUAGUUCUCUGGGCUGGCAGACUGUAAUGUGUUGAGGUUGUAGUUCUCUGGGCUGGCAGACUGUAAUGUGUUGAGGUUGUAGUUCUCUGGGCUGGCAGGCUGUAAUGUGGUAUGUGUUGAGGUUGUAGUUCUCUGGGCUGGCAGGCUGUAACGAGGGCUUGACCACAGAUGCCUCCACAGUCAGAAGUACAGUGAUUUUGGAAAGUAUUCAGACCCCUUGACUUUUUUCCAUGUUGUUACAUUACAGCCUUAUUCUAAAAUUGAUGAAAUAGUUUCCCCCCUCAUUAAUCUACACUCAAAACAAGUUUUCAUGCUGACAUUUUUUACAAAUAAAGAAAAA